CCUACGGGUUGCAGCAGUGAGGAAUAUUGGUCAAUGGGCGAGAGCCUGAACCAGCCAAGUCGCGUGAGGGAGUACUGCCCUAUGGGUUGUAAACCUCUUUUGUCGGGGAGCAAAAUCCGGCCGUUUCCGGCUGUUAGAGUACCCGCAGAAAAAGCAUCGGCUAACUCCGUUCCCGCCGCCGCGGUAAUACGGAGGAUGCGAGCGUUAUCCGGAUUUAUUGGGGUUAAAGGGUGCGCAGGCGGAUUUUUAAGUCAGCGGUCAAAUCGUGGGGUUCAACCCCAUCCAGCCGUUGAAACUGGGGAUCUAGAGUGUGCGAGAGGUAUGCGGAAUGCGUGGUGUAGCGGUGAAAUGCAUAGAUAUCACGAAGAACCCCGAUUGCGAAGGCAGCUUACUAAACUGUGACUGACAGUGAUGCUCGAAAGUGUGGGUAUCAAACAGGAUUAGAUACCCCAGUAGUC
rnacentral:rRNA from 1 species